rnacentral:rRNA from 1 species
GACGUAGGAUGCAAGCGUUGUCCGGAUUUAUUGGGCGUAAAGAGUUCGUAGGUGGUUUGUUAAGUCUGAUGUUAAAGACUGGGGCUCAACCUCGGAAAUGCAUUGGAUACUGGCAGACUUGAGUGUGGUAGAGGCAAUCGGAAUUCCAGGUGUAGCGGUGAAAUGCGUAGAUAUCUGGAAGAACACCGGUGGCGCAAGCGGAUUGCUGGGCCAUAACUGACACUGAGGAACGAAAGCUAGGGAAGCGAAUGGG